rnacentral:lncRNA from 1 species
UAUAUGUCACUAGUUUCUGCAUUCGGGUUUAGUCCUGGUAUGGGGAAUGUAUUGUUGUAUGCCUUUUGUUAAGGUUUAGGGGUAUUAUGACAUAUUUGAUUUUUAGGUGUGUUUCCAUUUUGUUUAGGUGAUAUCUCAGUGGUUAUGUUUUCAUGAGGUCUCCAGAUUUUUGGUGGUAUGUUGUUGCUUUUUAAUCUGGUGUAUCAACGAAAACUUUAUAGUAGUUUGUGAUUUUGACAUACCUUAUGUCUUAACUAGCUUUUUAAUGA